AGUCAGAGCCCGUUAAUGGGUGAUGGCGUGCCUUUUGUAGAAUGAACCGGCGAGUUACGAUUUGAUGCAAGGUUAAGCAGUAAAUGUGGAGCCGUAGCGAAAGCGAGUCUGAAUAGGGCGUUUAGUAUUUGGUCGUAGACCCGAAACCAGGUGAUCUACCCUUGGUCAGGUUGAAGUUCAGGUAACACUGAAUGGAGGACCGAACCGACUUACGUUGAAAAGUGAGCGGAUGAACUGAGGGUAGCGGAGAAAUUCCAAUCGAACCUGGAGAUAGCUGGUUCUCUCCGAAAUAGCUUUAGGGCUAGCCUCAAGUGAUGAUUAUUGGAGGUAGAGCACUGUUUGGACGAGGGGCCCCUCUCGGGUUACCGAAUUCAGACAAACUCCGAAUGCCAAUUAAUUUAACUUGGGAGUCAGAACAUGGGUGAUAAGGUCCGUGUUCGAAAGGGAAACAGCCCAGACCACCAGCUAAGGUCCCAAAAUAUAUGUUAAGUGGAAAAGGAUGUGGCGUUGCCCAGACAACUAGGAUGUUGGCUUAGAAGCAGCCAUCAUUUAAAGAGUGCGUAAUAGCUCACUAGUCGAGUGACACUGCGCCGAAAAUGUACCGGGGCUAAACAUAUUACCGAAGCUGUGGAUUGUCCUUUGGACAAUGGUAGGAGAGCGUUCUAAGGGCGUUGAAGCAUGAUCGUAAGGACAUGUGGAGCGCUUAGAAGUGAGAAUGCCGGUGUGAGUAGCGAAAGACGGGUGAGAAUCCCGUCCACCGAUUGACUAAGGUUUCCAGAGGAAGGCUCGUCCGCUCUGGGUUAGUCGGGUCCUAAGCUGAGGCCGACAGGCGUAGGCGAUGGAUAACAGGUUGAUAUUCCUGUACCACCUAUAAUCGUUUUAAUCGAUGGGGGGACGCAGUAGGAUAGGCGAAGCGUGCGAUUGGAUUGCACGUCUAAGCAGUAAGGCUGAGUAUUAGGCAAAUCCGGUACUCGUUAAGGCUGAGCUGUGAUGGGGAGAAGACAUUGUGUCUUCGAGUCGUUGAUUUCACACUGCCGAGAAAAGCCUCUAGAUAGAAAAUAGGUGCCCGUACCGCAAACCGACACAGGUAGUCAAGAUGAGAAUUCUAAGGUGAGCGAGCGAACUCUCGUUAAGGAACUCGGCAAAAUGACCCCGUAACUUCGGGAGAAGGGGUGCUCUUUAGGGUUAACGCCCAGAAGAGCCGCAGUGAAUAGGCCCAAGCGACUGUUUAUCAAAAACACAGGUCUCUGCUAAACCGUAAGGUGAUGUAUAGGGGCUGACGCCUGCCCGGUGCUGGAAGGUUAAGAGGAGUGGUUAGCUUCUGCGAAGCUACGAAUCGAAGCCCCAGUAAACGGCGGCCGUAACUAUAACGGUCCUAAGGUAGCGAAAUUCCUUGUCGGGUAAGUUCCGACCCGCACGAAAGGCGUAACGAUUUGGGCACUGUCUCAACGAGAGACUCGGUGAAAUCAUAGUACCUGUGAAGAUGCAGGUUACCCGCGACAGGACGGAAAGACCCCGUGGAGCUUUACUGUAGCCUGAUAUUGAAAUUCGGCACAGCUUGUACAGGAUAGGUAGGAGCCUUUGAAACGUGAGCGCUAGCUUACGUGGAGGCGCUGGUGGGAUACUACCCUAGCUGUGUUGGCUUUCUAACCCGCACCACUUAUCGUGGUGGGAGACAGUGUCAGGCGGGCAGUUUGACUGGGGCGGUCGCCUCCUAAAAGGUAACGGAGGCGCUCAAAGGUUCCCUCAGAAUGGUUGGAAAUCAUUCAUAGAGUGUAAAGGCAUAAGGGAGCUUGACUGCGAGACCUACAAGUCGAGCAGGGUCGAAAGACGGACUUAGUGAUCCGGUGGUUCCGCAUGGAAGGGCCAUCGCUCAACGGAUAAAAGCUACCCCGGGGAUAACAGGCUUAUCUCCCCCAAGAGUUCACAUCGACGGGGAGGUUUGGCACCUCGAUGUCGGCUCAUCGCAUCCUGGGGCUGUAGUCGGUCCCAAGGGUUGGGCUGUUCGCCCAUUAAAGCGGUACGCGAGCUGGGUUCAGAACGUCGUGAGACAGUUCGGUCCCUAUCCGUCGUGGGCGUAGGAAAUUUGAGAGGAGCUGUCCUUAGUACGAGAGGACCGGGAUGGACAUACCUCUGGUGUACCAGUUGUCGUGCCAACGGCAUAGCUGGGUAGCUAUGUGUGGACGGGAUAAGUGCUGAAAGCAUCUAAGCAUGAAGCCCCCCUCAAGAUGAGAUUUCCCAACUUCGGUUAUAAGAUCCCUCAAAGAUGAUGAGGUUAAUAGGUUCGAGGUGGAAGCAUGGUGACAUGUGGAGCUGACGAAUACUAA
rnacentral:rRNA from 1 species